rnacentral:rRNA from 1 species
UUAUUGGAGAGUUUGAUCCUGGCUCAGGACGAACGCUGGCGGCGUGCCUAAUACAUGCAAGUCGAGCGAACCAAUGGGAGCUUGCUCCCUGAGGUUAGCGGCGGACGGGUGAGUAACACGUGGGUAACCUGCCUGUAAGAUUGGGAUAACUCCGGGAAACCGGAGCUAAUACCGGAUAACAUUUUGAACCGCAUGGUUCAAAGUUGAAAGACGGCUUUUAGCUGUCACUUACAGAUGGACCCGCGGCGCAUUAGCUAGUUGGUGAGGUAACGGCUCACCAAGGCGACGAUGCGUAGCCGACCUGAGA